UACAGAGGGGGCAAGCGUUGUUCGGAAUUACUGGGCGUAAAGAGCGUGUAGGCGGCCAGGUAGGUCUGCUGUGAAAACUCGAGGCUCAACCUCCAGACGUCGACCGAAACCAUCUGGCUAGAGUCCGGAAGAGGAGAGUGGAAUUCCUGGUGUAGCGGUGAAAUGCGCAGAUAUCAGGAAGAACACCGAUGGCGAAGGCAGCUCUCUGGGACGGUACUGACGCUGAGACGCGAAAGCGUGGGGAGCGAACAGG
rnacentral:rRNA from 1 species